rnacentral:rRNA from 1 species
UAAUACGUACCCGUACCGUAAACCGACACAGGUAGAUGAGGAGAAAAUCCACAGGCCGACGGGAGAAGUGUUGUUAAGGAACUCGGCAAAAUGACCCCGUAACUUAGGGAGAAGGGGAGCCACGCAAGUGGCCGCAGAAAAGAGGCUCAAGCGACUGUUUAGCAAAAACACAGGUCUCUGCGAAACCGAAAGGUGAAGUAUAGGGGCUGACACCUGCCCGGUGCUGGAAGGUUAAAAGGAGAGGUUCGGCGCAAGCCAAAGCUUUGAAUUCAAGCCCCAGUAAACGGCGGCCGUAACUAUAACGGUCCUAAGG